GCCUGCGUGGCGCAAUGGCUAGCGCAUUGCCCUUCUAUUUUCUUUUCUGCGGGGCAGGCAAAGGCUGCGGGUUCGAGUCCCGCCGUAGGUU